rnacentral:tRNA from 1 species
GCAGGGGUAGCCAAGCCUGGCCAAAGGCGCUAGAUUGAGGGUCUAGUCCCUAGCGGUCCGUGUGUUCAAAUCGCACCCCCUGCACCA